rnacentral:rRNA from 1 species
CACGUAGGAGGCGAGCGUUGUCCGGAAUCAUUGGGCGUAAAGAGCGCGCAGGCGGCUUGGCAAGUCGGGUGUGAAAUCCCGGGGCUCAACCCCGUGACUGCAUCCGAUACUGUCAGGCUAGAGGUAGGUAGGGGAGAUCGGAAUUCCUGGUGUAGCGGUGAAAUGCGCAGAUAUUAGGAGGAACACCGGUGGCGAAGGCGCUCAUCUGGCCCAAUACUGACGCUGAGGCGCGAAAGCUAGGGGAGCAAACGGG